rnacentral:rRNA from 1 species
UCCUACGGGAGGCAGCAGUGGGGAAUAUUGCCCAAUGGGGGAAACCCUGAUGCAGCGACGCCGCGUGAGUGAAGAAGUAUUUCGGUAUGUAAAGCUCUAUCAGCAGGGAAGAUAAUGACGGUACCUGAGUAAGAAGCCCCGGCUAACUACGUGCCAGCAGCCGCGGUAAUACGUAGGGGGCAAGCGUUAUCCGGAUUUACUGGGUGUAAAGGGAGCGUAGACGGCAUGGCAAGUCUGUAGUGAAAG